GCCAGUGUGGUGUAGUGGUUUGAGUGUUGGACUAGGACUUGAGAGAUCUGGGUUCAAAUCCCCACAGCUGUGAAGCUCAUUGACG